UUUGAAAACAUUUUAUAAAAGUUAUUAUUUUCUAUAGUUAAUACUUUAGGAUUUAAUCGCAAAAAACUGAAAAACACCUUUUUUAAAAUUUUUUUGAACUUUUAACUUUUACGAGUUUUUGAGAUAAACCACAAUAACUGAAAAACUACCCUUAUUACCGAGUUUUCAACCCUCUUGAGGCACGGCUUAUGGACGACCAAAAUUAAUAAAAUUAAGGAACGAGGAAAAUUUUUUUAAUUAUUAAGAGUAAUGUUUUCAACUUGAUACGAUUUGAGGUUUUUUGAUAAAUCUUUAAAGAAUUCGGUCCUGUGAGACCUCAGAAAAAGUGGCAACAGACAUAACAAAAAGUCACAUCAUAAUAAAAUGAAUAUCUUUUCAGCUUUGCAUCGAAGCUAAAAUGUAUCUUUAUUUGUUUUGAUUGUCCUACAAUUUUGAAAAACAUAAAUACAAGUAAAUUUUUUUAGUUUUCUAAGUAUUUCACAUUUAUAAAAGUAAAUACA